rnacentral:rRNA from 1 species
CGUUAGCGCGACGGGUGAGUAACACGUGGGUAACCUACCUAUAAGACUGGGAUAACUUCGGGAAACCGGAGCUAAUACCGGAUAAUAUUUCGAACCGCAUGGUUCGAUAGUGAAAGANGGUUUUGCUAUCACUUAUAGAUGGACCUGCGCCGUAUUAGCUAGUUGGUAAGGUAACGGCUUACCAAGGCGACGAUACGUAGCCGACCUGAGAGGGUGAUCGGCCACACUGGAACUGAGACACGGUCCAGACUCCUACGGGAGGCAGCAGAG